CCAGACUCCUACGGGAGGCAGCAGUGGGGAAUCUUCCGCAAUGGGCGAAAGCCUGACGGAGCAACGCCGCGUGAGUGAAGAAGGUCUUCGGAUCGUAAAGCUCUGUUGUCGGGGACGAAAGGGUAGACGAGGUAAUGCGUUUACUAAGACGGUACCCGACGAGGAAGCCACGGCUAACUACGUGCCAGCAGCCGCGGUAAUACGUAGGCGGCAAGCGUUGUCCGGAAUUAUUGGGCGUAAAGGGAGCGCAGGUGGGACGGUAAGUCCGUCUUAAAAGGCAGGGGCUCAGCCCCUGUAAGGGAUGGAAACUAUCGAUCUUGAGUGCCGGAGAGGAAAGCGGAAUUCCCAGUGUAGCGGUGAAAUGCGUAGAUAUUGGGAAGAACACCAGUGGCGAAGGCGGCUUUCUGGACGGCAACUGACACUGAGGCUCGAAAGCCAGGGGAGCGAACGGGAUUAGAUACCCCGGUAGUCCUGGCCGUAAACGAUGGAUACUAGGUGUAGGAGGUAUCGACCCCUCCUGUGCCGGAGUUAACGCAAUAAGUAUCCCGCCUGGGGAGUACGGUCGCAAGACUGAAACUCAAAGGAAUUGACGGGGGCCCCGCACAAG
rnacentral:rRNA from 1 species